ACGGGUGAGUAACGCGUGGGAAUCUACCCAUCACUACGGAAUAACUCAGGGAAACUUGUGCUAAUACCGUAUACGCCCUUCGGGGGAAAGAUUUAUCGGUGAUGGAUGAGCCCGCGUUGGAUUAGCUAGUUGGUGGGGUAAAGGCCUACCAAGGCGACGAUCCAUAGCUGGUCUGAGAGGAUGAUCAGCCACAUUGGGACUGAGACACGGCCCAAACUCCUACGGGAGGCAGCAGUGGGGAAUAUUGGACAAUGGGCGCAAGCCUGAUCCAGCCAUGCCGCGUGUGUGAUGAAGGCCUUAGGGUUGUAAAGCACUUUCACCGGAGAAGAUAAUGACGGUAUCCGGAGAAGAAGCCCCGGCUAACUUCGUGCCAGCAGCCGCGGUAAUACGAAGGGGGCUAGCGUUGUUCGGAAUUACUGGGCGUAAAGCGCACGUAGGCGGAUCGAUCAGUCAGGGGUGAAAUCCCGCAGCUCAACUGCGGAACUGCCUUUGAUACUGUCGGUCUAGAGUAUGGAAGAGGUGAGUGGAAUUCCGAGUGUAGAGGUGAAAUUCGUAGA
rnacentral:rRNA from 1 species